rnacentral:tRNA from 1 species
GGCGGCAUGGCCAAGCGGUAAGG